GGUGUCCUGCCCUGCUCCUGGAUGGAGCUUGGAGCUGUGCUGGAGGACACCGGCAGCUCCCGUGUGGGCUCUGAUGGUGAGUUAGGGCUGAGCGUGUAUCGCAGUCCCUGAGUGGAGUGCUCGGUGCAGCUCUCUUCUCUCCAGAAAGCAAUCUUCCUGAAGCUGGCAGGACCUUGAUGACCUUGGAGACCUCCAUUAAUGGUGCAGAAAGCAGCCACAGGGCUAAAAAUUACCAGUGGGGAGCUGAGCUUGAUGGAGCACACCUGCACCAGCCUGCCUUCUGGGGCUGAAAUCAAACUUGGCUUCUAACCCAGCUGUCGCUUUGCAAGGUCUCUGCUCCACGGGCAUCGUGUGGCUGGGGAGGGGGAGCAGGGAUGGUGCUGCUGUGGGGUGCAGGCGUUUGGGGCAGCUGCUCCCCCAGCCUUGGGACCGCAGCGGGAAGAUGCGUGACCGGCGGCUUCGCCUCCACGUGGGCGUAGGAGAUGGAAGCAAACAAACACAAACCCGAGCGUGGGUGGGCAGACACCUGCCUUCUGCUCCUCUUGGGUCUCGGUUUCCCCCUGUAAGACUUGACUGAGGGUAGAGGCCAUCGGGUGAGAGGGAUGGCACGGUCUGCCCGGCAUCCCCUCAUUUCCCUUCCUGCUUGGGGCUGCAGCAGACCACGGCUCUUUAAGGCUGCAAUAAUCCCUGGCCUGGGAUUAGUUUUGCACCUAAUCACUGCAGAACAAAUACGAAGUUUUAUUUACAGAAGCAGAAGAAAGACAGGGAAAAAAAGCCUCAAGCACGGCUGAUCCCAAGAUAAUCAGAGCUGGGGAGCGGGAGGCGAUCACUGACCUCAGAGCCCCCCCGGCCCUUACGUAAACGUGCAUCGGCCCUGUGCUGGAGCCACGAGCUCGAGCCCUGUCCCUGCUUGGACUUGGUGAAUCCAACCCUCGUUAUGGCUCAGGCUUGGACUUUUCUGGAAAUCCACUUUUUGGCUGGGGUUUUCUGGCCCUAACGCAGCCCCUCGGUUAGGUGUAUGCCCUAUGGAGAGACCCUGAGCUAGCAUCUGCAAUGGGAGACAAUGUUUAGGGGACGAUGGUGCUGCCAUGAAGGGAUGCUGAGCUUUCAUGAUGGGGAUGGAGAAGACCCCAAAAGCCACGCUGACCCCUAGGAAAUUGUAUUCUCACCAGCCCAGCAUCCCAUAGAGACACCACCCACAAGAAGGAGCCGAGCUGCUGCGCUGGGGGUAACAAGACAUGGGUUUAUUUUUCAUCCAUGCAAGCGAACAGCCCAGCAGUGGGCAAACCAGGGAUGGACAGAGGACACAAACGUGCUCUGUCCUUCCCAAGCCUGCCCUCUGUCACUUGAAGCCCCCAUGGCUUUGGCCACCCUGGCACAGGGGUCGGAGAUAGAUGGUGGGUGCCUGGGCUGGACCUGCGCCCCCCAGGCACGGGGGCAGCCCGUGAUGGCUCCGUGCCUGCCGGUGCCUGAAUUUCUCUUCCCCUUAUGCAGAUGCUGACAAAUAAAUAGGUCUUUUCUGCUUUGGAUCUUGCAUAGUGGAAAAAAAA